CCUUUGAAAAGGCUCAGAGAGGCCAACAGUGCCCUGGGAUAUCUCACACUGAGGUAACCCCAAGGCACGGGGAGCUGCAGGAGAAAGGGUGAACAGCGCGGGCUCUUUGCUGGAUUAUCACCGCUGAAAGGAACUGCAAAGCAUCCAACUCCACAAAUGAAAGAUGUUAAUAGAGCGGUCCCAGCGGAGGGAGAGGCUGUAGAUUACGUGGAGCUGCUUUCACAUCCUGCGAAAUGUGCAGAUUUAAAUAACAUUCCCCUCUCACAAGGAUAAAUCUCAGCGCUCGCCACAAAGAACCGCAGCCCGGGCCCACGCCAGGCUCCUCCAGAGGGCUCGUGGGAGACAUGGCUGAUGCACUGAAGACCUGGAAUUUGUGUCCCCUGCUCCAUGCAGUGGUCCCAAACAGCUCCACUAGGACACCACAACAACAGGCAGCAGAUCCCAGGAGGGUUUUCUCCUGCUGCUUUACAACAAAGGACUUGGGAGGUUGAGAAGGGGAGUUUCCCACCCCACUGAGAAGGUCUCAAAUAUCCUGCUAACCCAACAUAGCGUUUCAUCUGCAGUUUUUCAGUUCUGACAGACAAGGAGAGGAAAAAAAAAUCAAUUUCAGAGCUCCAAAUACAACCCAUUCUUUAACAGUU